rnacentral:rRNA from 1 species
AUUGAACGCUGGCGGCAUGCCUAACACAUGCAAGUCGAGCGAGCGGCGGACGGGUGAGUAAUGUAUGGGGACUUCCCUAUAGAGCGGGGUAACUACUGGAAACGGUGGCUAAUACCCCAUAUUGCCGUAUUACCCAUUUGGGAUUAGCUAGUAGGUAAGGUAAUGGCUUACCUAGGCGACGAUCCCUAGCUGGUCUGAGAGGAUGAUCAGCCACACUGGGACUGAGACACGGCCCAGACUCCUACGGAGGCAGCAGUGGGGAAUAUUGCACAAUGGGCGCAAGCCUGAUGGAGCCAUGCCGCGUGUAUGAAGAAGGCCCUAGGGUUGUAAAGUACUUUCAGUAGGGAGGCGUUACCGACAGAAGAAGCACCGGCUAACUCCGUGCCAGCAGCCGCGGUAAUAC